GCACACAGGAAACAGAAACACAGCCUGAAGUGAAAGUGUGCAGUUGACAAGGAAGCUGUAGGGUCAGUCUGUUAUUCAUUCCAAGAGUUGAGAGAUGGUGAUGGAAGCCAUAAAGGAAGAACAAACAAAAGAGACCAGAAACUUCUGCUUUUCUCCGAGGCUUCCUUCUUGGGAUUGCAGACAACCUAGCCACGUUCUUGUCAUAUCCUCAACUUACCUUCUCUGUGAGCAUGAGUAGCCCUGCUGUUCCUUCCUCUUCCUAGAGGGGCAAUGGUGCCUCCUACCUACGAGCGAUCAAGCACAUCCUUGCAGUUGGGUCAAACAAACUUGUUUAGAGGAGAGAAAAUAUGUGGCUCGUUACCUUACAUAAACAACAGCCUUCAGCGUGUCAGGGACUAUCUGUCCUUGGACAAUGGGCUUACCAGUUAAAGGUAUUUUUGUUCUUUGGAUCUCUUAGGCUCUGUAAUUAACACUUAAAACAUAACUUUGGCUCUCAUGCUGGAGAGAUGGCUCAGCAUUUAAGAGCACUUCACGUUGGCUCAUAGCACCCAUGACCUCCUAUAACUCCAGUUCCAGGAGAUCUGAAGAUUUCUGGCCUCCAUGGAUACAUGCCCUUACAUGGUGCACAUAAACACAAUGACUGUAUGGAAAGAGGUAGAAAUGAAGAAGUCCAGUGGCUCCCAAGUCAAUUUGGGGAAUUAUUAUGAACUGCAGGCUUAAAUGGAGAAAGAUUGAGCCAAGAAGCAAAAAGUGUGUGACAUUAAGUAGUCCUGCUCUAGGACAUGGCCUCCACCAUCGUUGUCUCAGCUCUGGUCCAGGAAGGUGGAGCAAAGAAGCCCUUAUUGCUGGAAGGGAUAAGGUGGUCCUCAGGAAUGAGCGCUUCUGCUCCAGACUGCAGCCUCACCUUCAUGAGUAAUCACCCUGGGGGCGGGAUGAAGAGCCUUUGUCUCGCCAAGUUUUAUUGUUCCUGGAAUGCAAAGCAACUAAAACAGUGAUGUUGAGGAUAAUGCCAAGGACUUGCUUCCGUGACUCCAGCCCCAGGAAAGGAGACAGACACGGACUGAAGGCGUGGAUGGCAGUCUUUGAGCAUGCUCUUCGCUUGUGGACCUACAUGAGGAGUCAGUACUGCAUAGCAAAGCUACUGGCUAGCGCCCGUUUCCCUUGUCUUAAGCACAUGUGAUUAAGCGUAAGAUCUUUCUGCAGGGAGCAGAUGCUUUUCUCAGUCUACUACACUCUUAUUGAGUUUUAUUUUACAUGUAUGAAUUUGUUUCGUGCUUGUAAAAAUGUAUUCAGGAAUACAUGGGUGCAUGUGUGUGCAUCUGCACACGUACAUACGUGUACAGAAGCCCAAGGUCAACCUCAGGUGUUUUCUUUAGUAACUCACCAACUUGCUUUUUUAGACAGCCUGUCAUUUUAUCUAGAGCUUGCCAAUUAAGCCAGGAUGGCUGGCCCCGGAGUCCCAGGGAUGCCCCCUGUCUCUACCUCUGUCACCAGCAAUACAAGCGUGAAUAUACUUGGCUUUUUUUUUUUUUUAACAUGGAUCCUGUGGAUAAAAUGCAGGCCUUCAUACUUGUACAACAAGCAUUUUACCAACUAAGCCCUCCCCCUGGCCCCUGUUAGCAAAUUAAAGACAUUUAUUCUUGUCACUAGUUGUCAUAACAAGCAAUAUAAUUUGGAUUUCCUUUAAAAUCAGUACUUACGGAACAACAAUUGCUUUAGUCUGAGUCUGCUGAACUAAGGGCUCAGAUUCUCAAUUCAGAAGUUCAAGGGGUCAAAUUGUGCUUCUUCCUCUGCCUUGGCAAGGUGGGCCAUACUCUCACUAUCUUGACUGUGUGGACUCCACCUCCGUGUCACUAAGACCCUAUUUCUGGUUUUGGCAAGGUGGCACAGAAGGUCUGGGACCUUAUAUCCACAGAGCAUCUUAGCUAGGUUUCCUGCUCCAUGGCCUCCCUUGAUUCCUGUCAUUUUUGUUCUGAGCCCCUGCUUCCAGCCUUCUCUUCUGAGAAAGAGCUGUCUACCUAUUAUCUUUUAAAUGAAUUUCGUUUUUGUUGCUUUAAGGAGUAGCCUUCCUUGGUACCACUUUCCUUUUCUUCAAAUGAUCUUUUAAAUGAUUGACUGUAGCCUGGGGGGUCUCAUAAUUAUGUAUCAUUAACUGUGCAUAAAAAAUAAAUCACAGUAACAGAGUAAGCAUU